ACGACUACAUUAGAUACCCCGGUAGUCCUAGCCGUAAACGAUACUCGCUAGGUGUCGGCCACGGUGCGACCGUUGUCGGUGCCGUAGGGAAGCCGUGAAGCGAGCCACCUGGGAAGUACGGCCGCAAGGCUGAAACUUAAGGAAUUGGCGGGGGAGCACAACAACGGGUGGAGCUUGCGGUUUAAUUGGAUUCAACGCCGGAAAUCUUUACCGGGACCGACAGCAACAUGAAGGCCAAGCUGAAGACUUUUGCCGGAUUUAGCUG
rnacentral:rRNA from 1 species